UGAGUAAUGUCUGGGAAACUGCCUGAUGGAGGGGGGAGUAACUACUGGAAACGGUAGCUAAUACCGCAUAACGUCACAAGACCAAAGAGGGGGGACCUUCGGGCCUCUUGCCAUCGGAUGUGCCCAGAUGGGAUUAGCUAGUAGGUGGGGUAACGGCUCACCUAGGCGACGAUCCCUAGCUGGUCUGAGAGGAUGACCAGCCACACUGGAACUGAGACACGGUCCAGACUCCUACGGGAGGCAGCAUG
rnacentral:rRNA from 1 species